AAUAAGUGAUCUUCAGAUGGAGUUAACAACUGUUAUUUGUGUCAAAGAAAGCGACUGGUAGUAAGGGUGAGUGGAGAGGACCUGCAGGCAUCACAGGACAUGAAAACAGCAGAGUCUAAGAAGACAUGAGCUUUUCUGUGCUCACAGUAAAAUCACCAGGAUUCUUGCCAUGAAUGCAAGAACUGAGUUGCUCCUUCAGAGGGAAAUGCCACAAUGCUUGUGUGGAAGGAGUCACAAAGAUGGACACUGGAGUAAAUGAGAGCGCACAUAACUCACCAUCUAGCCUGUUUGGUCUGCCCACAUCGGUUCCUGACUCUAUACACUUCCCCAUUAUUUUCCAGGUAGGAAGACUUUCAACGUGCUUUUACUCUUCUUUUUCUUUCCCGGAUUUAUAUGAGGAAAAAAUGAUUGUUAGGCUGCUUUCUGGAUGUAGCUCUCAGGAAACCAUGCUCACAAAUGCAAAUCUGAAAAAUGGGUGUGUGAUUGCAUGCCUAACUUGGAGAUACGAUUCAGAUUACAGUUUGGGUAACUGA
rnacentral:lncRNA from 1 species